rnacentral:rRNA from 1 species
AUGUCGGGGCGCGGCAAGGGCGGCAAAGGGCUGGGCAAGGGCGGCGCCAAGCGGCACCGGAAGGUGCUCCGCGACAACAUCCAGGGCAUCACCAAGCCGGCGAUCCGGAGGCUGGCCAGGAGGGGCGGCGUGAAGCGCAUCUCGGGGCUCAUCUACGAGGAGACCCGCGGCGUGCUCAAGAUCUUCCUCGAGAACGUCAUCCGCGACGCCGUCACCUACACCGAGCACGCCCGCCGCAAGACCGUCACCGCCAUGGACGUCGUCUACGCGCUCAAGCGCCAGGGCCGCACCCUCUACGGCUUCGGCGGCUAG